rnacentral:rRNA from 1 species
AGUGAACGCUGGCGGCAGGCCUAACACAUGCAAGUCGAACGGCAGCACAGUAAGAGCUUGCUCUUACGGGUGGCGAGUGGCGGACGGGUGAGGAAUACAUCGGAAUCUACUUUUUCGUGGGGGAUAACGUAGGGAAACUUACGCUAAUACCGCAUACGACCUACGGGUGAAAGCAGGGGAUCUUCGGACCUUGCGCGAUUGAAUGAGCCGAUGUCGGAUUAGCUAGUUGGCGGGGUAAAGGCCCACCAAGGCGACGAUCCGUAGCUGGUCUGAGAGGAUGAUGAGCCACACUGGAACUGCGACACGGUCCAGACGCCUACGGGAGGCGGCAGCAGGGAAUAUUAUUCGACGGGCGCAAGACUGAUGCAGCAACCCCGCGUGGGUGAUGAAGGCCUUCGGGUUGUAAAACCGUUUUUUUGGGAAAGAAAAACAGCAGCAGGAUACCCCCCCGUUGUGACGGUACUAAAAGAAUAAGCACCGGCUAACUACGUG